CGCAAUUUACUCUCUCGACACCUUGUCACCUCAUCAGGACGAUAAGUUUUUAAAAGCGGCAACCAGGUUAAAUCAGGAUGGCGAAUCACGCGACGGAAGACCAUUAUCAUGGCUCAUGUCGACUUAUAAUUCCGACGGUCCCUCAGUGAUUUCACUAUUUUACCGUCUUUACUGUUUUUCAAACUGAACAAUCAUUUUAGAAAACCGGAGAUUUUGAUCUUUCACAUUUAUACACAAAGGCAUUUUAAUUUUAUCAAAUAAUAUUUCGAUAAUUGAAGAAUCUAGGUGAGCCUUAUAUAUAUAUAUAUAUAUAUAUAAAUUAACCAUUAUGAAAUAUUAUAUAAUUUAAGAAUAUAUCUGAAUGAUAUCAUGCCUAAAGUAUACAAGAAUACUAUCAAGUCAAGAACAACAAAAUUAUUUAAACGUGUUAAAAUGAGUCUUCCAGUAACAAAGAAAAACAAAGAUAAUGCAAACAAAGAAGAAUUGAAUAUUUCAAAACAUGCAGAAAGUAUGAUAGACAAGAUUUUAAGAGAUGUGAAUAAAAAAUCUACUACUAAACAAAUUAUUAUUGGCACAACAUCAGGAUGGUUGACUGGUUUUAUAACAAUAAAAAUUGGAAAAAUUACUGCAUUUGCAGUUGGUGGUGGAAUUAUAAUGCUCCAAAUUGCAGCACAUCAAGGUUACAUUAAAAUUAAUUGGGAUAAAAUUCAAAAAAAAGCUGAAAAAAUAACAGAUAAAGUAGAAGAAACAGUAACUGGUGAAGGACCAAAAUUUUUGGAUAAGGUAGGAACAUGGUGUCGAAACAAUUCACUUGUGGCAACAAGUUUCAUUGGUGGUUUUAUUAUUGGUUUAGCAUCCUGAAUGAGAAACUAUUAGUUUUUUUUUUAUAAAAACAUGAGUGAACAUUAUAUAUUUGUUACUUUUAGCAUAUUAACAUUAUAUGUUAGAUCGAGAGAUAUGUUGAUAAAAAGUUAGAUAAAGCUGAACAAUUAUUAAAAAAUGGCGAAUCUCGUACACGUCGUGGUUUUGCACUUGGCAUUGUAAGUGGUAAAUUGAUUUAAAUGCAUUGUACUCUGAAUGCAUAAAAAAUCAGGUGCUUAUGUCUUAAGAAUAAUAAUAAAACUGAAUAUCAAAAUAUUAAUUUAUGUUUUUAAAAAUAAUAAAAUAUAUUAAAGUUAUAUAUAUGUUAUAUAUAAAGUAAAUGAAAUUUAAUUUUUUUGUAUUUGUUGAUUUGUUUUGUUUGUUUUGUAUUUAUUGAUUUUGAUAUUAUUUUUUGUAUAUGUAUAUUCCAUAAAUACCUGAUUUUAUAAAAAAAAAAUAAUUUUUGCAUGUAUUAUAUUAGAAUAUAUUAUAUUAUAUUAGAUAUAUAUUUUAUUAUUUAACAUUAAUAAUAUAAAUAUUAUUAUUAUAAUAUAUAUAAAUAUAGAAUCUCUUAUCCAUAUUUGAUUAUUUUUGAAUAAAUUGUUUUGCAUUCAGAAUACAAUAAAAAUAAUGCAGUCAUCUUAGAUAUUAUAUUUGUAUAAUAUAGCAAUUAAUAUAAUCUUCAUCAUAUUAACUUAUGAAAAUUGCUAAAAAUAUUAAUAAAUAAAUAAGUUAAAAUAAAGAUAAUAUUAAUCUAUUGAAUAUUAUAAACAAAUUUUCUAUGAGUUUUAUAUAUAAUAAGUUAUAUAUUUUUUGAUUAAAAUAGAUAUAGUUUUAUAUCUAUAUAUUUUUGUUUUGUAACAUUCUUAAAAAAUUUAUCUAAAUAUUUUAUGGCAUAAAUAUAAAUAAAACUGAUCAUAUAAUAUUACUAUAUUCAAAAUAAUUAAUAUAUAGAUUGAUGUGUGUGUGUAUAUAUAUAUAAGAUGUAAUACUUACUUUGUUAGAAAAUGUUAUAACUUGAAAUUUUGAUUUGUGAAAAAUAAAAGAAUCUUACUGUUAUAAA